rnacentral:tRNA from 1 species
ACCUGGCUGGCUCAGAGCACGUGACUCUUGAUCUCGGGUUGUGAGUUCGAGCCCCACGUUGGGUG